rnacentral:rRNA from 1 species
GACGGAGGAUGCAAGUGUUAUCCGGAAUCACUGGGCGUAAAGCGUCUGUAGGUGGUUUAAUAAGUCAACUGUUAAAUCUUGAGGCUCAACUUCAAAAUCGCAGUCGAAACUAUUAGACUAGAGUAUAGUAGGGGUAAAGGGAAUUUCCAGUGGAGCGGUGAAAUGUGUAGAGAUUGGAAAGAACACCAAUGGCGAAAGCACUUUACUGGGCUAUCACUGACACUGAGAGACGAAAGCUAGGGUAGCAAAUGGG